GAUGAAGAACGUAGCGAAAUGCGAUACGUAAUGUGAAUUGCAGAAUUCAGUGAAUCAUCGAGUCUUUGAACGCACAUUGCGCCCCCUGGUAUUCCGGGGGGCAUGCCUGUCCGAGCGUCAUUGCUGCCCUCAAGCCCGGCUUGUGUGUUGGGUCUCGUCCCCCUUCCCGGGGGGACGGGCCCGAAAGGCAGCGGCGGCACCGCGUCCGGUCCUCGAGCGUAUGGGGCUUUGUCACCCGCUCUGUAGGCCCGGCCGGCGCUUGCCGAUCAACCAAAACUUUUUUCCAGGUUGACCUCGGAUCAGGUAGGGAUACCCGCUGAACUUAAGCAUAUCAAUAAAGCGGAGGA
rnacentral:misc_RNA from 1 species